UUCUGCAAUUUAAUUAGCAAAGUCCGUAGCGCAGCCAAUCCAGUCGGACGACAUUUGAGUAAGCACCCGGGAUUCCGGAGACGUUUGCAGCAAAUAUUGUGCAAACAAGUACAGAGAGAGCAGGUGCGGUGAUGUGAUAAGAGCUAUGCAUAUGUGCUGUGAGCAUGCAGAGGACCAUGCCCCAGGACUACCUGACAUAAUGACUCCUUGCUGUCCCCAGUCCACCUGGCCGUGUUGCUGCUCCAGUUUCAACUGUUCUGCCUUAUUAUUAUUCAACCAUGCUGGUAAUUUAUGAACAUCUUGGCCAUGUUCUGUUAUAAUCUCCACCUGGCCGCCCCACAUAGCCUGGU